CACCGCGGUUAUACGAGCAGGCCCAAGUUGACAGAAAACGGCGUAAAGAGUGGUUAAGGAAAAUAAUAAACUAAAGCCGAAGGCUCUCAAUACUGUUAUACGCUAGCGAGAGUACGAAGCCCUACAACGAAAGUGGCUUUACUUCACCUGAUCCCACGAAAGCUAAGACA
rnacentral:rRNA from 1 species